rnacentral:rRNA from 1 species
AUUGAACGCUGGCGGCGUGCUUAACACAUGCAAGUCGAACGCGAAAGGGACUUCGGUCCUGAGUAAAGUGGCGCACGGGUGAGUAACGCGUGGAUAAUCUGCCCUUAUGAUUGGAAUAACAGUUGGAAACGGCUGCUAAUACCGGAUACGCUCAAAAUGAACUUUUUGAGGAAAGAUGGCCUCUGCUUGCAUGCUAUCGCAUAAGGAUGAGUCCGCGUCCCAUUAGCUUGUUGGCGGGGUAACGGCCCACCAAGGCAACGAUGGGUAGCCGAUUGGAGGGGAUGAUCGGCCACACUGGAACUGAAACACGGUCCAGACUCCUACGGGAGGCAGCAGUGGGGAAUAUUGCGCGAUGGGCGAAAGCCUGACGCAGCGACGCCGCGUGAGGGAUGAAGGUUUUCGGAUCGUAAACCUCUGUCAGAAGGGAAGAAACUACGUUGUGCUAAUCAGCAGCGUACUGACGGUACCUUCAAAGGAAGCACCGGCUAACUCCGUGCCAGCCGCCGCCGUAA